UUGACCUCGAAUCAGGUAGGAAUACCCGCUGAACUUAAGCAUAUCAAUAAGCGGCAGGAAGGAUCAUUACAGAGCGU
rnacentral:rRNA from 1 species